rnacentral:rRNA from 1 species
GAUGAACGCUGGCGGCGUGCCUAAUACAUGCAAGUCGAGCGAAUGGAUUAAGAGCUUGCUCUUAUGGAGUUAGCGGCGGACGGGUGAGUAACACGUGGGUAACCUGCCCAUAAGACUGGGAUAACUCCGGGAAACCGGGGCUAAUACCGGAUAACAUUUUGAACCGCAUGGUUCGAAAUUGAAAGGCGGCUUCGGCUGUCACUUAUGGAUGGACCCGCGUCGCAUUAGCUAGUUGGUGAGGUAACGGCUCACCAAGGCAACGAUGCGUAGCCGGCCUGGGAGGGUGAUCGGCCACACUGGGACUGAGACACGGCCCAGACUCCUACGGGAGGCAGCAGUAGGGAAUCUUCCGCAAUGGACGAAAGUCUGACGGAGCAACGCCGCGUGAGUGAUGAAGGCUUUCGGGUCGUAAAACUCUGUUGUUAGGGAAGAACAAGUGCUAGUUGAAUAAGCUGACACCUUGACGGUACCUAACCAGAAAGCCACGGCUAACUACGUGCCAGCAGCCGCAGUAA